CGCCUCUGCCCUUCCUGGGCGUUUCCUCCCUAUGACUUUGUAGCCCGGUCUUCAUGGCCGGGCUUUCUUUUUGCGCGAU
rnacentral:sRNA from 1 species